rnacentral:lncRNA from 1 species
CUGUUUCGUGGGGCCUUGGGCAUCACUAUUGACAUCCAAACUCUUUCUUCCACACCUCCUUCUGCAGGCCAGGACAGAUGCCACUCCGGAGUGCCUCCUCCACAGCUCCAUCCAGGCCCUCGCUGGGACACUCCUCAGCCACAUCUCUCUGAUCCGCGGCUUCCAUCGGAGCCAUGACCCCAGCCCCCACCUCACUGCCCUCCUCACAGCUCAUACGCAGGCUAUCCAGGCUGGACCCACAUGGAUGUUUGCUCCCAGCAAAUCUGGUUUGCAAGUUUAAGGGCUGUCAGCAUUCACCCUGAAGAAGUGCUCACCUCUUCACUCUGCAACCCUAACAGUUAACCUGCUUCGGGGAGGUUUGAGGUCAGAGCUGCCGGGUAGGUGCAUCCUCCAUCCUUCUCUUCCUCCCAGGCAGACCUCAGUGUUCCCGCACCUAAAAGUGGGCCACGCCCCAGGCUACAGGUGAUGUUCUCAGCGACAGGGAAGCCAUCUGCCUCACGCAGACAUCCUGCGUCUGAGCAGUCCGUUCCCAAAGGCUUCUUAAAAAAUUUCACUUAAAUGAGUGAGCUUCUGCCUUGUGUAGGAGUUUUCAUGUGUUUCCUAGAACAGAACUCAGCUUCCUAACAUGACGUGCAAACAGAGUUGUUCACGUGCUCAUGGCCUUGCUUGUGGCAAAAAUGUCUUCUGUCUUGGUCUUGUCUAAAUUCCUCCUCAAUCCUGCUUUAACUUGAGGUCUGAAAGCUGACUGCAGGGUGCUCAUGAGAAGCCAAGUGCUACAGACAGGGAGGUUUGCUCAAGGAUUGCCUUUUCCCAGUAGAACUUCACCUUAUUUUUUUACAUGUAAUAAGUUCCUGAAAGUGUCUAUAAAUAUCAAAUGUAUCAAAGGUGGAUGAUGAUCUUAUGCAAUACAAGAGGCAGUGUUGCCUGAUGGUUAAGGACACGGACAAUGACCCAGGGGGCAUGGGCAUAAAUCCGCCACUUCUUGGUGUAUGGCUGAGAGCUCUCUGUGCCUCAGAUGGGAACCCUUGUUAGGUGCUUGUGCAAAUUAAGUGAUUUAAUAUAUUUAAAGCACUAGAACAGAUGCUCUUAUGCUCUAUCUGUGUUAACGAUUAUUGUCGUACGUUUUAAGGUGGGUUCUGUACUCAGAGAGCUGAAAAGAGUGAUUGUCUCACUAAUGAUAUUUUGCCUCUAAGACACAGUCAGUGACAAUCCAUUUCUAAGACUUUGUUUUCUUUUCCUCCCAAGUGAAUCCAGUCAACCAGCUCAAGACCAAUGAACAC